UGAGUUACGCCGCGGUAGGCAAGCAGGUCUAAUCGAUGUAUCUGCUCGGCUGGUUCAACUCCAGCUAACUCAACCA
rnacentral:tRNA from 5 species